rnacentral:rRNA from 1 species
AUGUGCGCGGUGGACGUGGUCUACGGCGAGGUCUCCGCGGGGCGGGUCGCGCUGCCGCUCGCGGACGGGAGCGCGCUGCGGGGGAGGCUCUCCGUGGAGCUCGGGCCCGACGACGUGCCGCCGUUCGUCGCCGCGCCGGCGUGGUACCCGGCGUUCACCGAGUCGGCGCUGUCGCAGUUCGAGGGGCUGGACCAGGCCGACCACGUGCUCGUCAACUCCUUCCGCGACCUCGAGCCAAUGGAGGCAGAUUACAUGGAAUCGAAAUGGGGCGCAAAGACCGUCGGCCCGACAUUGCCGUCGUUCUACCUUGACGAUGAUCGCCUGCCGUCGAACAAGACCUAUGGUUUCAACCUCGUCUCGAGCACUUCUCCGUGUGUGGCAUGGCUCAACAAGCAGGCUCCUUGCUCUGUGCUCCUCGCAUCCUACGGCACGGUUGCUAACCUUGACUCGACACAACUAGAAGAGCUAGGCCAUGGAUUGUGCAACUCCGGACAACCUUUCCUUUGGGUGUUGAGGCCUAGUGAGACAGAUAAGUUGCCCCAGGAACUCCAUGACAAAUGCAACAUGAAAGGCCUAAUUGUUCCCUUUUGCCCUCAGCUGGAGGUGUUGGCUCACAGGGCCACAGGUUGUUUCUUGACACAUUGUGGAUGGAACUCGACAACUGAAGCAAUUGCCACUGGUGUACCCAUGAUCGCAAUACCGCAAUGGGCGGACCAACCGACCGCCGCAAAGUACAUGGAGAGCGCAUGGGGGAUCGGCCUGCGUGCACGUCGAGGCAAGAAAGGCUUGGUGAGACGAGAAGAGGUGGAGAGGUGCAUCAAGGAAGUGAUGGGUGGGAAGGAGUAUAUGAGGAAUGCUUCUAAGUGGAUGCAGAAGGCCAAAGAGGCUAUGCAGGAAGGAGGGAGCUCUGACAAUAACAUUGCAGAUUUUGCAGCCAAAUAUUUAUGA